CACUGCCUGUCACUACCACCAAUUGGAUAUUUUAGUGAGGUCCUCAGAUUUGACUAUCUAGAAGAAGUAAAAGUCAUAAUAAGGUUUACAUAGGUGAACCUGGGGAAG
rnacentral:ncRNA from 1 species